rnacentral:rRNA from 1 species
GACGAACGCUGGCGGCGUGCCUAAUACAUGCAAGUCGAGCGAAUCGAUGGGAGCUUGCUCCCUGAGAUUAGCGGCGGACGGGUGAGUAACACGUGGGCAACCUGCCUAUGAGACUGGGAUAACUUCGGGAAACUGGAGCUAAUACCGGAUACGUUCUUUUCUCGCAUGAGAGAAGAUGGAAAGACGGUUUACGCUGUCACUUAUAGAUGGGCCCGCGGGGCAUUAGCUAGUUGGUGAGGUAAUGGCUCACCAAGGCGACGAUGCGUAGCCGACCUGGGAGGGUGAUCGGCCACACUGGGACUGAGACACGGCCCAGACUCCUACGGGAGGCAGCAGUAGGGAAUCUUCCGCAAUGGACGAAAGUCUGACGGAGCAACGCCGCGUGAACGAAGAAGGCCUUCGGGUCGUAAAGUUCUGUUGUUAGGGAAGAACAAGUACCAGAGUAACUGCUGGUACCUUGACGGUACCUAACCAGAAAGCCACGGCUAACUACGUGCCAGCCGCCGCAGUAACAC